rnacentral:tRNA from 1 species
GCCGGCGUAGCUCAGCGGCAGAGCAGCCGACUUGUAAUCGGCAGGUCGAGGGUUCGACCCCCUCCGCCGGCUCCA